GGGGUGAUGGCCUACCAAGGCGACGACGGGUAGCCGGCCUGAGAGGGUGUCCGGCCACACUGGGACUGAGAUACGGCCCAGACUCCUACGGGAGGCAGCAGUGGGGAAUAUUGCACAAUGGGCGCAAGCCUGAUGCAGCGACGCCGCGUGGGGGAUGACGGCCUUCGGGUUGUAAACCUCUUUCACCAUCGGCGAAGCCGGGAGCUUUUGUUUCCGGUGACGGUAGGUGGAGAAGAAGCACCGGCCAACUACGUGCCAGCAGCCGCGGUAAUACGUAGGGUGCGAGCGUUGUCCGGAAUUACUGGGCGUAAAGAGCUCGUAGGUGGUUUGUCGCGUUGUCCGUGAAAUUCCCUGGCUUAACUGGGGGCGUGCGGGCGAUACGGGCAGACUGGAGUACUGCAGGGGAGACUGGAAUUCCUGGUGUAGCGGUGGAAUGCGCAGAUAUCAGGAGGAACACCGGUGGCGAAGGCGGGUCUCUGGG
rnacentral:rRNA from 1 species